AGAACGAACGCUUGCGGCGCGCCUAAUACAUGCAAGUCGAACGAGAAAGUUUCUUCGGAAGCGAGUACAGUGGCGGACGGGUGAGGAACACGUAGAUAAUCUGCCUUAAAGAGGGGAAUAACUACUCGAAAGAGUAGCUAAUACCGCAUAAGACCACAGGAGCUUCGGCUCUAGGGGUUAAAGGAGCAAUUCGCUUUAAGAUGAGUCUGCGUCCGAUUAGCUAGUUGGUGAGGUAACGGCUCACCAAGGCGACGAUCGGGUACCUGGU
rnacentral:rRNA from 1 species